CGGGGCGUAGCUCAGCUUGGCUAGAGCAUCGGCUUUGGGAGCCGAGGGUCGCUGGUUCAAAUCCAGUCGCCCCGA
rnacentral:tRNA from 1 species